rnacentral:rRNA from 1 species
GCUCAUCACCAUUCCAGAUUGAAUAUACCCGAUCUCGUCUGAUCUCGGAAGUCAAGCAAUCUCGGGCUUGGUUAGUACUUGGAUGGGUGAG